CGAAACUGCGAAUAGCUCAUUAAUACGCUCAGAAUCUAUUUGGCGGCGACCAACAGGUCUUAAAUGGAUAGCAGCAGCAACUCUGGUGCUAAUACAUGCGAUUGUUUCUCCAGAUGUGAAUUAUGGAGGAAAAGUUGACCUCAUCAGAGGCACGCCAUUCGACUGAGUGACCUAUCAGCUUGUACUUAGGGUCUUUACCUAGGUAGGCUAUCACGGGUAACGGGCGGUUACCGUCGGACUGCCGGAGAAGGCGCCUGAGAGAUAGCGACUAUAUCCACGGGUAGCAGCAGGCGCGAAACUUUCCCACUCGAGACUUUCGGAGGAGGUAAUGACCAGUUCCAUUGGUGCCUUUUGGUACUGUGGAUAGGGGUACGGUUUUCCACCGUACCGAAACCUAGCAGAGGGCCAGUCUGGUGCCAGCAGCUGCGGUAAUUCCAGCUCUGCGAGUUUGCUCCCAUAUUGUUGCAGUUAAAACGCCCGUAGUCUGAAUUGGCCAGCAAUGGUCGUACGUAUUUUUACGUUCACUGUGAACAAAUCAGGACGCUUAGAGUAUGGCCACAUGAAUGACUCAGCGCAGUAUGAAGUCUUUGUUUUCUUCCGAAAACAAGCUCAAUGAGAGCCAUCGGGGGUAGAUCUAUCUCAUGACGAGUGGUGGAAUACUUUGACUCAUGAGAGAGAAGCUGAGGCGAAGGCGUCUACCUAGAGGGUUUCUGUCGAUCAAGGGCGAGAGUAGGAGUAUCCAACAGGAUUAGAGACCCUGGUAGUUCCUACCUUAAACGAUGCCGACAGGAGUUUGUCAUUUGUUAAUGGCAGAAUCUUUGGAGAAAUCAUAGUUCUUGGGCUCUGGGGGAACUACGACCGCAAGGCUGAAACUUGAAGGAAUUGACGGAAGGGCACACCAGGGGUGGAGCCUGUGGCUUAAUUUGAAUCAACACGGGGAAACUUACCAGGACCAGAUGUUUUUUAUGACUGACAGGCUUCGGGUCUUUCAGGAUAUUGUUUUUGGUGGUGCAUGGCCGUUGGUGGUGCGUGGGUUGACCUGUCUAGCGUUGAUUCAGCUAACGAGCGAGAUUAUCGCCAAUUAUUUACUUUGCCGAAGUCCUUCGGUUAAAGUUCUAAUUGGGACUCCCUGCGAUUUUAGCAGGGGGGAAAAAGGUAGCAAUAAACAGG
rnacentral:rRNA from 1 species